rnacentral:rRNA from 1 species
AUUGAACGCUGGCGGCAGGCUUAACACAUGCAAGUCGAGCGAGCGGCGGACGGGUGAGUAAUGUCUGGGAAACUGCCUGAUGGAGGGGGAUAACUACUGGAAACGGUAGCUAAUACCGCAUACCAUCAGAUGUGCCCAGAUGGGAUUAGCUAGUAGGUGGGGUAAUGGUUCACCUAGGCGACGAUCCCUAGCUGGUCUGAGAGGAUGACCAGCCACACUGCAACUGAAACACGGUCCAGACUCAGACGGUAGGCAGGGGUGGGGAGUAUUGUACAAGGGGCGCAAGCCUGAUGCAGCCAUGCCGCGUGUGUGAAGAAGGCCUUCGUGUUGUGAAGCACUUUCAGCGAGGAGGCGUUACUCGCAGAAGAAGCACCGGCUAACUCCGUGCCAGCCGCCGCGGUAAUAC